rnacentral:rRNA from 1 species
GAUGAACGCUAGCGGCAGGCCUAACACAUGCAAGUCGAGGGGGAAGUUACUUUCGGGUGACUGAGACCGGCGUACGGGUGCGUAACGCGUAUACAAUCUGCCUUUCACUGGGGGAUAGCCCGAAUAAAUUUGGAUUAAUACCCCAUAGAAUAUAGGGACGGCAUCGUUUUUAUGUUAAGGCUUAGGUGGUGAAAGAUGAGUAUGUGUUCUAUUAGCUAGUUGGUGAGGUAACGGCUCCCCAAGGAGAUGUUAGAUAGGGGUUCGGAGAGGGAUGUCCCCCACAGUGGUACUGGGAUACGGACCAGACUCAUACGGCAGGGAGCAGUGAGGGAUGCAGGAGAAUGGUCGGAAGACUGAUCCAGCCAUGCCGCGUGCAGGAUGGAGGUCUUAUGGAUUGUAAACUGCGUUUGUAAGGGAAGAAUAAGGGCUACGCGUAGGUUGAUGACGGUAACUGACGAAGAAGCAUCGGCUAACUACGUG